rnacentral:rRNA from 1 species
AGAUUGAACGCUGGCGGCAGGCCUAACACAUGCAAGUCGAGCGGCAGCACGGGUACUUGUACCUGGUGGCGAGCGGCGGACGGGUGAGUAAUGCCUAGGAAUCUGCCUGGUAGUGGGGGAUAACGCUCGGAAACGGACGCUAAUACCGCAUACGUCCUACGGGAGAAAGCAGGGGACCUUCGGGCCUUGCGCUAUCAGAUGAGCCUAGGUCGGAUUAGCUAGUUGGUGAGGUAAUGGCUCACCAAGGCGACGAUCCGUAACUGGUCUGAGAGGAUGAUCAGUCACACUGGAACUGAGACACGGUCCAGACUCCUACGGGAGCAGCAGUGGGAAUAUUGGACAAGUGGGCGAAAGCCUGAUCCAGCCAUGCCGCGUGUGUGAAGAAGGUCUUCGGAUUGUAAAGCACUUUAAGUGGAGAAGGCAGUUACCUAAUACGUAUCUGUUUUGACGUUACCGACAGAAUAAGCGAACCGGCCUUAAACGUCCUUGGCGUCCCAAGACCG